rnacentral:tRNA from 1 species
GGUCCGGUAGUUCAAUUUGGUUAGAGCACCUGCCUGUCACGCAGGAAGUUGCGAGUUCGAGUCUCGUCCGGACCGCGA